GACGAACGCUGGCGGCGUGCUUAACACAUGCCAGUCGAACGGAAAGGCCCUGCUUUUGUGGGGUGCUCGAGUGGCGAACGGGUGAGUAACACGUGAGUAACCUGCCCUUGACUUUGGGAUAACUUCAGGAAACUGGGGCUAAUACCGGAUAGGAGCUCCUGCUGCAUGGUGGGGGUUGGAAAGUUUCGGCGGUUGGGGAUGGACUCGCGGCUUAUCAGCUUGUUGGUGGGGUAGUGGCUUACCAAGGCUUUGACGGGUAGCCGGCCUGAGAGGGUGACCGGCAACAUGGGGACUGAGAUACGGCCCAGACUCCUACGGGAGGCAGCAGUGGGGAAUAUUGCACAAUGGGCGGAAGCCUGAUGCAGCAACGCCGCGUGCGGGAUGACGGCCUUCGGGUUGUAAACCGCUUUCGCCUGUGACGAAGCGUGAGUGACGGUAAUGGGUAAAGAAGCACCGGCUAACUACGUG
rnacentral:rRNA from 1 species